rnacentral:lncRNA from 1 species
UGAGAAAUCAAGGAGCCAUCCAUUGAAGAUCCAAGGAUGGACAUUGAGUGGCCAAGGCUAUAAAUAGAAGGGUAAUCCCCUCAUUUUCACUCACCACACUACAAGCAAACUCAAGAGCUUUCACUCCACACUUGCCCACACGUUUUUGCCUCUAAGCUUCCAAGCUUUCAAGUGCUCAAGUGUCCUAGCUUUCCAAAGCUUCAAAAGCUCUCCAACUUCUUCUUCUAAUCUUCUUGUUCAUCUUUACAAGUAAGAAGUGUUGUUUGCUUUAAUAUUCCACUCCUCUAAUCACCUCUUGUGUGUGUCCACGUUGGUUGAGAGGGUUGUCUCAAUAGUACCAAAGUGUUAGAGAAGGUUUGUGAGCUCAACCAUAAAGCUCUAGUUUGGUUUUAUAGAGUUUCCGGGAAAACUCUUAGGUUGAGUCUACCUUUAAAGAUUUCAGAGGUUUUUAAGAGUUCCUUGAUACUCUAAGGUACUAACUUACCCGUAAAAGUUAGAGGUUCUUAAGAGUGCCCUUGAUACUCUAAGGUGUGAGUCUACCCG